AUUGAACGCUGGCGGCAGGCCUAACACAUGCAAGUCGAACGAGUGGCGGACGGGUGAUUAAUGUCUGUGAAACUUCUUGAUGGAGGUGGAUAACUACUGCAAUCGGUAGCUCAUACCGCAUACCAUCAAAUGUGCCCAGAUGUGAUUAGCUAGUUGGUGGGGUAACGGCUCACCAAGGCGACGAUCUCUAGCUGGUCUGAGAGGAUGACCAGCCACACUGGAACUGAGACACGGUCCAGACUCCUACGGGAGGCAGCAGUGGGGAAUAUUGCACAAUGGGCGCAAGCCUGAUGCAGCCAUGCCGCGUGUAUGAAGAAGGCCUUCGGGUUGUAAAGUACUUUCAGCGGGGAGGCGUUAACCGCAGAAGAAGCACCGGCUAACGCCGUGCCAGCCGCCGCGGUAAUUC
rnacentral:rRNA from 1 species